AAGGUUUUAAGUUAAUUUAAACUAAUAAUCUUCAAAAUUAUAUAUAAAGAAAACAUUCUUUAAGCCUUA
rnacentral:tRNA from 1 species